CAAAAGCCAUUUGUCAGAAUGAGAUGUUCCAGCCUCUCCUUCCCUCGCAGGCCAGUUGCCGCGCUGUGAAUUCCUGUUGCAUCAGCAGCGAGGCUAAUUAGCUCCACGGCUCCUGAAUAAUAAUGGCCGCAUUCACAGAGAGGCGUCUGCGUGCAGGAGCCAUGCGCACAUGCAAACCUUGAAGCUGCGCAAGAUGCACAGCAGGGCCUGGUGGUGCCUCACAGAGUCCACCCCUUGGGCCACUUCCAGGAGAGGCCCCUCUUGGAGGGAAGUUGAAGAGGAAGGCUGGUACGUGAACUCCAGCCCCCACGGCUGAAGCUUUUGUGGUCUCAGGGCUGCAGCAGACACUCCUCAGCUCCCGCCUCUACUGCCCACCAUGGACGCCCCUCAUUCUCAGGUGACAUCUCUAUGGGGACUGAGACCCUGCACACCAUGCCCUUUUCAGGCCAUAGCGGCAGGAAAGACAAAUCUAUAUCUGGAACAUGUCUCUCUUCCUGGUUUUCCCGGGGUGGAGGGGUCCACCGUAGUCAUCUGCCACAUACUGAGCCAAACUAAUCUCAGGUUUUAUCUUCCGCCUCAGCCAGCGGCACAGGAUCCCCCAGCAUGGCCAUUUAUAUGAGCUGAAGGUGCUGGUGCAUCAGUGGUAGGCGGCGAGGGGUCUGGGCUACCUGCUGGUGCAGCUUGCUGGUUAACUCGAGUCCUGCUCACGCUCAGUCCAGGAUGUAUCCACUUUCUGACUUGGUGGGUCUGACAGAUCCAGCUCAUGAUGGGCAGUUCUGGGUGCAUGACCCCUCGGUGUCUCAUGGCAGGGUGCUCUGUCUCUACCAGUGCCGGGAGCACACCACAGCCUGUGUGUAUAAUAAAAGGUGUAUAAUUCUUUGCUGCAAAUUAUAUGCACUUGUUCCCAA
ensembl:lncRNA